GAUGCUAGCCAGGUUUGUUACUGCUGAGCCACAGUGGGAACUCCAGAAUGUAUGUUUUAUGCGAAGAGAAAUCUUAUUGAUCUUGGGAACAAAAAUCCUAUUUCCAAAAUCCAACGAAGUCUGUGGGCACACCACAUUUGCACACGUACACCAACACAAAGAGAAAAAAAUGUUAGUUCUAACAGUGACUGAAAAUAUCUCUGUUUCAGGCAGAGAGCAAGGAAGAGCAGUUUGUUCAUGGUCUUAGAAAAUCGAGAGAGUUGUCAUCACCCUAGAGAGUUCUUCCAGCAUCAAGAUGGCACAUCUGGAGUUUCAGCACCUCUCCAAAAGUGGUAUGACAUCUGAAUUGACCUGUUAGUUAUGAAUAGGCUUUCUACAGUGUUUUGAUGAAAGAAGUUGUGACCCUGGAGAAGGAAGAAGCCAUUUUUGUAAACAGCAAAAAACCUUCUUCAUCAGCUGUCACCAUCCAUGCAACCAGAUCUCCUGCCUUCCUGGAACUUCAUGCUUCUUCCUAACUCCGUGGAAACUUUGUGGAUCCAACACACCCUUGGAGUGGCCAUGUGUCUUGGAUUCCUGGUUUUUCAUCUUCUCCCCGUUGGUUUUCAUGGGUCUGCUGCUUUUCUCUGUGAGCGGUCUUCCCUCCUCGGGUCUGGGGGACUCUGGCCUCACUGGAAGUUGGCAGAACCUUGUCCAGAACUCUAUGGAGAUUUCGCCUCUCCAAUAAUGAGAUAAGUCUAUUUCUCCAAACCUUGAAUCUGGGCUGGGUCUGUGACUUUCCUUGGCAGAUGGAAGGCAGUAAAACAACUGUGUCUGAGCUAAGACCCUGGCCUCAGGAGACCUUGUGUGCUUCCCCUCUUUCUCUUGGAGCACUGCCAGGUGUCGUGGGAACAAGCCUGAACAGCCAGAUGGAAGAUAAAAUACUACGUGGACCAGAGCAGAGUCACUCCCAUUUCCCAAGCAUGGGCCCAGACAUGUGAAAGAGGUUAGCCAAGACCAGUCAA